GCCUGGGUGGCUCAGUCAGUUGAGCAUCUGACUUCGGCUCAGGUCAUGAUCUCGCGGCUCGUGGGUUCGAGUCCCGCUUCGGGCU
rnacentral:tRNA from 1 species